UUGAAGAGUUUGAUCAUGGCUCAGAUUGAACGCUGGCGGCAGGCCUAACACAUGCAAGUCGAACGGUAACAGGAAACAGCUUGCUGUUUCGCUGACGAGUGGCGGACGGGUGAGUAAUGUCUGGGAAACUGCCUGAUGGAGGGGGAUAACUACUGGAAACGGUAGCUAAUACCGCAUAACGUCGCAAGACCAAAGAGGGGGACCUUAGGGCCUCUUGCCAUCGGAUGUGCCCAGAUGGGAUUAGCUAGUAGGUGGGGUAAAGGCUCACCUAGGCGACGAUCCCUAGCUGGUCUGAGAGGAUGACCAGCCACACUGGAACUGAGACACGGUCCAGACUCCUACGGGAGGCAGCAGUGGGGAAUAUUGCACAAUGGGCGCAAGCCUGAUGCAGCCAUGCCGCGUGUAUGAAGAAGGCCUUCGGGUUGUAAAGUACUUUCAGCGGGGAGGAAGGGAGUAAAGUUAAUACCUUUGCUCAUUGACGUUACCCGCAGAAGAAGCACCGGCUAACUCCGUGCCAGCAGCCGCGGUAAUACGGAGGGUGCAAGCGUUAAUCGGAAUUACUGGGCGUAAAGCGCACGCAGGCGGUUUGUUAAGUCAGAUGUGAAAUCCCCGGGCUCAACCUGGGAACUGCAUCUGAUACUGGCAAGCUUGAGUCUCGUAGAGGGGGGUAGAAUUCCAGGUGUAGCGGUGAAAUGCGUAGAGAUCUGGAGGAAUACCGGUGGCGAAGGCGGCCCCCUGGACGAAGACUGACGCUCAGGUGCGAAAGCGUGGGGAGCAAACAGGAUUAGAUACCCUGGUAGUCCACGCCGUAAACGAUGUCGACUUGGAGGUUGUGCCCUUGAGGCGUGGCUUCCGGAGCUAACGCGUUAAGUCGACCGCCUGGGGAGUACGGCCGCAAGGUUAAAACUCAAAUGAAUUGACGGGGCCCGCACAAGCGGUGGAGCAUGUGGUUUAAUUCGAUGCAACGCGAAGAACCUUACCUGGUCUUGACAUCCACGGAAGUUUUCAGAGAUGAGAAUGUGCCUUCGGGAACCGUGAGACAGGUGCUGCAUGGCUGUCGUCAGCUCGUGUUGUGAAAUGUUGGGUUAAGUCCCGCAACGAGCGCAACCCUUAUCCUUUGUUGCCAGCGGUCCGGCCGGGAACUCAAAGGAGACUGCCAGUGAUAAACUGGAGGAAGGUGGGGAUGACGUCAAGUCAUCAUGGCCCUUACGACCAGGGCUACACACGUGCUACAAUGGCGCAUACAAAGAGAAGCGACCUCGCGAGAGCAAGCGGACCUCAUAAAGUGCGUCGUAGUCCGGAUUGAGUCUGCAACUCGACUCCAUGAAGUCGGAAUCGCUAGUAAUCGUGGAUCAGAAUGCCACGGUGAAUACGUUCCCGGGCCUUGUACACACCGCCCGUCACACCAUGGGAGUGGGUUGCAAAAGAAGUAGGUAGCUUAACCUUCGGGAGGGCGCUUACCACUUUGUGAUUCAUGACUGGGGUGAAGUCGUAACAAGGUAACCGUAGGGGAACCUGCGGUUGGAUCACCUCCUU
rnacentral:rRNA from 1 species